rnacentral:lncRNA from 1 species
UAACCAUCCACUUAACAAAGAGUCUGACUAAAUUUAUUUAUAAGGGAACCCCAUUUUAUGCUGUCUUGGCAAGACAAAGAAAAUCCAAGUUGUGCAUGGCAGUAAAGGGGAGCCUGGAAGCAUCUCUGGCAGUUCCUUUCUUUCCCAAUUCUGAAGUGGGAAAAAGUGAGAAAGAAGAGAAAGUGGAAGUAAUGAUGAAACAAAUGUGCAAAGACUGACCCUUACUGAUGUGCAUCAAUGAAAGGAGGACAAAGCAGGCUUCUACCUCCUCUUCUUUUUGUAUUUUCUUUCCUCUCUUCUCAGUUUUUCCUAUUUCUAUUUUUCUUUCUCUUCAUAAGCUUUCUUC